rnacentral:pre_miRNA from 1 species
ACCGGUGCGCCAUCUGCCGUUACAUCUGUUACAAAAGAAGGCUUUUGUAACAGAUGUAACGGCAGAUGGCGCACCGGUUUUU